rnacentral:rRNA from 1 species
AUUGAACGCUCGCGGCAGGCUUUACACAUGCAAGUCGAACGAGCGGCGGACGGGUGAGUACUGUAUGGGGACUGCCCGAUAGAUGGGGAUAACUACUGGAAACGGUAGCUAAUACCGCAUCCUAUCGGAUAACCCAUAUGGGAUUAGCUAGUAGGUGAGGUAAUGGCUCACCUAGGCGACGAUCCCUAGCUGGUCUGAGAGGAUGAUCAGCCACACUGGGACUGAGACACGGCCCAGACUCCUACGGAGGCAGCAGGGGGGAAUAUUGCACAAUGGGCGCAAGCCUGAUGCAGCCAUGCCGCGUGUAUGAAGAAGGCCCUAGGGUUGUAAAGUACUUUUGGUCGAGAAGCGUUAUCUGCAGAAGAAGCACCGGCUAACUCCGUGCCAGCCGCCGCGGUAAUAC